AGCAGAGCUCUAUUGGUGGAGAGGUCAGAACAGAAGGACGUUGCGCGUGGGACAGUUUCCUCGCCACGUGGUCACGUCGGUCAGCGGCCUGUCGGCCCAAGACAUCAGCAGACCCCUCACACACUCCUUCAUUCACACUGGACACGGAGACACUGACCCACACAGGAGCUGGGGGCACGCUGACCGCAUAGACAGUCUGUACUUGGGAAACCCUAUGGACCCCCCUGAUGUUAUGGGAAUGGAUCCUUCCACUGCCCGGCCCACCAAACUACCCAGCCGCACCAGGAGUGAGUAGGCUACACAAACUAACACACAGUUAUUCUCUCCUUACAAAUAUCUUACUACCUUUUCAUUCAUUCAUAAAGUCUCUCCCUCUUUCUGUUUUGUCUCUCAGAGAAGCCUCCUCCUCGUCCUCCCCAGCCUGCUGUCCUGAUCAACAGUAUGUCUCCCACGCUGAGUGUGUAUUUACCUGUAUAUGUUGAGUUGUCUAUGACUCUCUGAUUGAUGAUAUCGGUGUGUGCGCGCUUGUGUGUAUGUGUGUGUGUGUGUGUGUGUAGAGCCGUUCUAUGACUCUGUGUUAGAUGAUGAUGAUGAAUAUGAAGGUGCUUCGUCGGGGCUGAAGAGGCUGGGCGCGGCUAUAGGCCUUAAACUCCGCCCGGGGGAGGGGUCAGGUGUGAGGUCUGCCAAAAGCGAAGUCUCGCUCAUCGACUUCACCGAUGACAGCUUCAGCUCGGCCACGCCCUCCCCUCUCACUGAGACACGCAUACCUGACCAGGACACACUCCAGGUACACACACACGCACACACACACACACACACACACACACACACUCACUCAGUAGGCAAAAUAACAUUUUUCUCUCCCUCCAGGACCUUCCUUCCAUCCUGGACUGGCCCCUCCCUCUUCCUGCCUACGACGAGGUUGCCACUGAGGCCGAGGGUCAAUUGGCAGACCAGGAGGUUCGAUCUAUCACUGGAUUGCCAGAGGGGAUGUUGGCUCCGCCCAACACUGAUGCAGAGAGGAGGGGCUUAACUCAGUCAGCUGAUCUGUUCCAGGAGCUGCAGAGAGAGGUGAUGGUGAAGCUGCGUGUUCCCAUGACAACCGGCCGUUCCCUCCCCUCCUCCCCCCUUCCCCUCUCCUUGGCCCCUCACAGACAGAUCUACCUUCCUCCCCCCUCCUCUUCCUCCUAUGAGGACAGACCCAUGCUACCUCCACGCUCCCCCAUCCCACCCCUACGCUCCUCCAAACGCGUUUCCCUAUGUGAGAGGGAAAACACACCCCCCCAGAUCCCUCCCAGAGACCACGCUUUCUCUCAGCCCUCCUCACGCUCCUCCUCCCCCCUUCCUUUAGUGCUUCCCCUCUCUGUCUCCCCUCUCUCCUCCUCCCUUUGUCUCCCCCCUCCUCCCCUCUCCUUCUCUCCUCGUCAGAGGACUGGACUAUACGGGGUUGUUGGUCCUCUCGGCUCUCUAAUCUCCUCCUCCCCCUCUUCCUCUCCUCCCUCCUCCUCCCUCUAUUCCUCCAUGCUUAUAGCUGCCCCUCCCCCCAGUUCCUCAUUGGAUCCCCUCUCUGAGGGGCGUGACCUGUCAAUACUUAUUGGCAACUCUCAGAGUUCUGAACGCCCCGCCUACUUAGAGAGGUAUGGAGCCACCAAAAUGGCCACCGUCCGACCCAUGGUGCAACAGCAGCCAGGUGGGGGUGGGGCCAGGCCUAACUCCUCCCACAACAACAACAAUCACAGGACUCAACAUUUAACUGCAGCUCCCGGCAGGCAACGGGAGAACGGCCUCAUUCAGGUAGAACAGUUGUUCCAGCUGGGUCUGCGUUCUAGAACAGAGUGCCAGGAGGUUCUAGAGCGUUGCCAGUGGAACCUAGAACAGGCAAGCACCAUGCUACUGGACUCUUGUGGAAAAGUAGGCUGA
rnacentral:lncRNA from 1 species